GCGCCCUGUGUGCUCAGGAAGUGCUGGACGGGGGGCUGCCGGCAUGGGGUGCCGGAACCAGGAUUUCAGGCUUUCCACUCCCGGACUCCACUUUCUCUGCCAAAGUUUUCCCGUGAACCAUUUCCAGACUAUAAGGAGAGGGGAAGAAGGAUGCUGUUCUCAGCAGGGAGGCCUGCAGAGAUUGUCAUCUCUCUAGGGAAGAAGGAGAGGCUGCAGGCAGGUUCAUAGCCUUCCACAGCCUGCCGUACUGGACACUGCAUCCUCCUGCAUGGCUCGGCCUGUCUAAAUUUUGUCUUCAUUCAGCAAACAUGCAUGCGAGGCCUUCUGUGAACCAGGCUCUGUGUGCUGGAGGCAGGGGAUACGAAGACAGAUGAAGCCUCUUCCUGCCCCUGCGAGUCACUGAGGGAGACACAGACACAUAUGGGUGCAUCAAUACGGGGAGCAUUCAAGGCCGGUAAUUGUUGCACAGAGAGAAGUGGGAUUACUUCCACCCAGGACUGGGGAAAGCAGGGAAGUCUUCAUGGAGGAGACUCACCCAGUAGGCGGGCAUGGACAAGGACCCAGAACCCACUGCCUUUGAUGAUGUCCCAUCCUCCACCCCACCUGCACACUCGUGCAACACUAAUUCAUAGGCACAACUCUCCAGCCCGGUGCUCGAGAAUGAUGGGAAAUGGCCUCAUGACUCCCUCUCCGGUGAGGAUGUGAAUGAAACAGGUCAACAGAGGCUCAAGUCCCAACUCUGUCACUUAGCAGCUGUGUGUGAGGCUGGGUAAGUCACCAGUAAAAUAAAAUAAUUCAGUUCCCUUCAGAGAGCUGUCAGGAGGAUCAUGUGAGACAAUGGAAUUGAAAUGUGCUUUGUAAACCGUGACUGUAUGUUGACGAGAAGUGUAACUACCGUGUCUUUAUGCAGAUUUAAGCCCAUGGGGUAUGUGAUGGCUUCCUGGUAGCCUGGCUUGGCUAGAAUUCCCAUGUGCUAGUCUCUCAUGGAGUUGGAGAACAGAAAGGAAGCAGCAGCUAUUUUGUAGCAUACACUCCCCAUCUCCCAGUUAUUCAAUCAAACACUAACCCAGGUGCUGCUGCAAAGGGAUUUUGCACAGGUGAUUAAAGUCCCUAAUCAGUUGACUUUAAA